GAAAUGAGAGAAGGUGCAAGAAAAUGGAGAAGCAUGGAGUGAAGGUCUCUGCUUAUAUAUUCUUCACAGGGAUCAUUUCCAUUGCCCAGUGCAAUGCUACACCUUGGCAGUGCAGCAUGCCAAGGGAAUACCAGAGUUUAGCAGAAAUGUGAGGAUUGUGUCCAGAGUAAAUGAAAAUGUGAGGAGAAAACAGGGCAGGCCAAAACCUCUAUGGUGCACAACUCCAUCAUGGGUGUGUGAAUCUUCAGGGCCUUGCAAAAGAGCCAGCAAGUCCCUCUGCAAUAUCAGGUGUUCUUUGCCCAAAGACCUACCUCAGAAAGUGGAGUUGUUUUCUGACUCUCUGCUCUGACCUCCUUGGGAUGCUGUGAAUCUUCUAAACAGGAGAGGGUUUGGUCAUGUUUGUUUGCAGUUAUUUUUCUCUGAGGCCCUUCCUCAGGAUUUUGUUAGCAUUGCAAAUUCCCAUUUCACAAUCUGCAUUCUUCCAGCAGGCAGACAAAGGCAUUUGAAACCAGCUGCAUUUAUCACUAAUGCUCGAUCUGGAUGAGAGAGGGCUGGAUGGAUCCUCAGGCACAGGGGUUUCGCCAUCCUCCAUCCACCCUGGGGGAGCCGCGCUGAUUUACCACAGCUGAGGAUCUGCUUGAGGGAAUUUAAUCUGGGGAGGGUUUGGUGAUGAUCUGAUCAAAGGCAGCCUCUGCCGAGGCUGAAUUCAAAAGGCUGAAGGAUGGGAAGGCUGUGCUCUUGGGACAUGCUCCACUCUUCUCAGGAGAUGGCGGGAGGCGAGUCGGGCCCAGCCUGUUGCGCAGCAAUGCUGCUGCAGAUAACAACCAUCUGCAUACUUGGCAGGCUCUCCCCUCUGCAUGUCCACCCCGGAGGCAAUCGCUGUCCCUUGGAUGGCCUGUUAGACCAGGUUUAGGCAGACUGAUAAGAUUAAAGAGCUUCUGCUACCCACUUACAAGACUGAAGAAACUGAAUUUGGAUGCUUCCCUCACCAUCGGGUGCUUGAGACAAUUUCUUAGUCAGUCCUGUCUGGCUUGAGCUGCUCUUUGAAUGUCUCUUCCUUUGAGGAGGGUGUUACAGCCAUCCCCAUCUGUGCCUCCUUCCAGGUGCCUGGUGGCAAGACAACCUCUGCAGAUGUUCUGCUUUCAUUUUUGGCGUAUAUCUGCUGUGUGCCUCUCCAGUACUGGGCAAUGCUGGAAUCUCGGAACUCUGAGAGUCCUUUCUGCCAUCGCUGUUGUGGCUGAAGCAUCGAGCAGAUUAAUCCAAACCAUAUAAUUUUAGCAGCAGCCAGGUCCAAAGUAGUGACAAAACCCCCCCAAAGAAGAGGUGAGUGUGUGGGUAGUUACUCCGCUAUGCUUUUGGCUUAGGCUGCUGCUAAUUAUAUGUUUAAAGCUGCUUCAAGGUAUGUCUACAGGUUAUCUCUUCUACAGCAGAGCCUUUGAUCAACUUCUGCACUGUCUGAAAUAAACUCCUUCGGUCAUAUAUCAUUCUUCCCAAGGAGUUUGCAUCCAAAGUCCUUUGGCUGGCUCUCUGGACCUUCAGAGGAUUUUUUCUGGUUUUCUACCCAUUUGCUAACAUGGGAAUAACAUAUGAACUGAAGCCUGAGUGAUGGCAAUUUAAGUUGUAGAUUUUUGAGGCUCAAAUCUUGGUUAACACUGCUGUGCUGACUGUGGAUGUGAUUUCCUUCCAGACAUUCCUACUGAGCUGCACAUUGCUGCCAAGAUAUGUAAAUUGCCUCACUCAGAUUCCUUUGCUUUCUAAUAUCACAUUCAGUUAGGCAUUACCUGGCUUCUCAUUAGGUUUUCUUUUUUUAAAUAGCUAAUUAUUUAACUUCCUUUUUUGCUGAUCUGGACAACAUUUUGAGCUCUGUUUAUACGUGAGUACAGCUCUCAUCUAAAAACUAUGCUGCUAGUAAAAUCUGAGUGAUGCAGGGCACUGCUGCUGAGCCACAUGAGGCCUGUGUUGCAUCUAUGUGUGCUUUUUCUCCUGAUGAAGUCCUGGGCAAUGCCAAGGAGGAGAAGUGAAGGAAAAAAACCUUGUGUGAUGUUAGUUGUCUGUGUGAAGGCAUUUAAAGA